rnacentral:rRNA from 1 species
UACAGAGGUGGCAAGCGUUGUUCGGAAUUACUGGGCGUAAAGGGCGAGUAGGUGGCCAUCUAAGUCAGACGUGAAAUCCCCCGGCUUAACCUGGGAACUGCGUCUGAUACUGGACGGCUUGAGUAUGGGAGAGGAACGUAGAAUUCCAGGUGUAGCGGUGAAAUGCGUAGAUAUCGAGAGGAACACCUGCGGCGAAGGCGGGUUGCUGGGCCGACGCUGACGCUGAUGCGCGAAAGCCAGGGGAGCGAACGGG